UCCUAGUUGAGUGUGAAGACCUGAGGUAUCAGGGGUAGGGGUUGCUCUGCUUGUGUAAGUCCCAUAGUGUGAAGGCCAGAGAACCAAGAGAUGGUCAAGAAGAGAGAGUAAGUGUCCAAUGUCCCAGCUCAAGAAGAGAGACAAGACCAACCCCGCCUCUUCCUUCUCCUUCUCGACCUACUCAAAGUAAAGAUGAGGAUGAAGACCCUUA
rnacentral:lncRNA from 10 species